rnacentral:lncRNA from 1 species
GUACAACUACAUUUGUGGGAUAAUGGGAUGCACAAUAGCAACUAUGAUCAUGGUGUAAGCAAUAGAAGAUAAGAAUAAUCAUUCACCUUCACAACAAUCUUAAUUAUGUAUAUUUCCACAGCUUUUGAUCAUCAAUUCAUGAUACAUACUGUUGGGGGAAAUACAAGUCCCCUCAAAGCACGUGAGCACAUCACCCGCAUGUGACCAGAGGCGCCCGACCUCAAACGCCUGACCUGGCGUCCGACCUCAAACGCCCGACCUGGCGCCCGACCAGG